rnacentral:rRNA from 1 species
CCCUUAGAUGUUCUGGGCCGCACGCGCGCUACACUGAUGCAUUCAACGAGUAUCUUCCUGGUCCGAGAGGAAUGGGUAACCUUUUGAAAGUGCAUCGUGAUAGGGAUAGACUAUUGCAAUUAUUGGUCUUCAACGAGGAAUUCCUAGUAGACGUAGUUCAUCAGACUGCAUCGAUUACGUCCCUGCCCUUUGUACACACCGCCCGUCGCUCCUACCGAUUGAAUGCUCAGGUGAGCCAUUCGGACUUUCAUCAUGCUGGUUUCCAGUUUUGAUGAAGGAAAGUCUUGCGAACCUUAUCAUUUAGAGGAAGGAGAAGUCGUAACA